rnacentral:lncRNA from 1 species
GAAUGAUUGUUAUGAAUCCAAACGCGAAAGAUAAAUUGAAAUAUUUGAAAUAGUAGGUUUAAUUCUUGCUAGGAAUAGUUAAUCGGUAUAUUUUAAGUUGUAAGUUAGAUCUCUUAGUAGAUGUAUUCUUUAGAUUUUAAUUUAAUAGAAGCAUUUGUUCGUAAUGGCUAAUAUAAAAUUUAACAAAGGGUAUAAAUAUGUGGUUAUUAUCUUUAAGCAAGAAUGAAGAAAUGAAAGCUCGAUAAAGAGUACUAUAAUAGUUAGACACUACGAAACUAUUAAGUGAAAGUAAUUGAAAUUAACUUAAUGAUAUAAGUUUUAUUCGAUUAUAUAUAUAUUAAAGCUUUCAUUUGUUUGGUAAUUAGCUAUAGAAGCUAGUUAUAAUUAUAUGAAGUAAAUAGUGAUCGUCAUUAUCAUUGGAACAUGAUUAUUGUAAAUUAAUGGUUGAGUGUUGACAUUGUUGUUUUGGAAGGAGGAUGGGGUUUUAAAUUGAUUGAUUGCCCGACGGAUGGGCUGUGUGUAUUGAUUGAUAAAUAUAGAUAAUGUUAUUGUGACAUUUAAACAGAUAGAUAAUCCUAUUUUUAGGGGAGAUGUUGUCGAAAUUUCGAUAGAACCUAGAUCAGUUUUAAUUAAUAACAUAAUAAAUAAGCUUGUUUAGACAAAUUCUAUAAUUUGAUACAUAAUAAAUAAAGUGCUCUAAUU